rnacentral:rRNA from 1 species
AUAACGACUCUCGGCAACGGAUAUCUCGGCUCUCGCAUCGAUGAAGAACGUAGCGAAAUGCGAUACUUGGUGUGAAUUGCAGAAUCCCGUGAACCAUCGAGUCUUUGAACGCAAGUUGCGCCCCAAGCCUUCAGGCCGAGGGCACGUCCCCCUGGGUGUCACGC